rnacentral:rRNA from 1 species
CCUACGGGAGGCAGCAGUGAGGAAUAUUGGUCAAUGGACGAGAGUCUGAACCAGCCAAGUAGCGUGAAGGAUGACUGCCCUAUGGGUUGUAAACUUCUUUUAUAUGGGAAUAAAAUGUUCCACGUGUGGGAUUUUGUAUGUACCAUAUGAAUAAGGAUCGGCUAACUCCGUGCCAGCAGCCGCGGUAAUACGGAGGAUCCGAGCGUUAUCCGGAUUUAUUGGGUUUAAAGGGAGCGUAGGUGGAUUGUUAAGUCAGUUGUGAAAGUUUGCGGCUCAACCGUAAAAUUGCAGUUGAAACUGGCAGUCUUGAGUACAGUAGAGGUGGGCGGAAUUCGUGGUGUAGCGGUGAAAGGCUUAGAUAUCACGAAGAACUCCGAUUGCGAAGGCAGCUCACUGGACUGCAACUGACACUGAGGCUCGAAAGUGUGGGUAUCAAACAGGAUUAGAUACCCUAGUAGUC